AGAAGUUUAGGUUAAGCCAGACCAAGAGCCUUCAAAGCUCUAAGCAAGUAAUAAGUACUUAGCUUCUG
rnacentral:tRNA from 1 species